rnacentral:rRNA from 1 species
AUUGAACGCUGGCGGCAGGCCUAACACAUGCAAGUCGAACGAGUGGCGGACGGGUGAGUAAUGUCUGGGAAACUGCCCGAUGGAGGGGGAUAACUACUGGAAACGGUAGCUAAUACCGCAUACCAUCGGAUGUGCCCAGAUGGGAUUAGCUUGUAGGUGAGGUAACGGCUCACCUAGGCGACGAUCCCUAGCUGGUCUGAGAGGAUGACCAGCGACGUGGGAACUGAGAAACGGUGCAGGCUCCUACGGGGGGCAGCAGUGGGGAAUAUUGCACAAUGGGCGCAAGCCUGAUGCAGACAUGCCGCGGGUAUGAAGAAGGCCUUCGGGUUGUAAAGUACUUUCAGCGGGGAGGCGUUACCCGCAGAAGAAGCACCGGCUAACUCCGUGCCAGCAGCCGCGGUAAGAC